AUACUUACUUAGACGUGGUCUAACGAGUGAUCAACAAUUCUUGUGGCCUAGAUCCGUGAUCUUCAUUGCACUUUGAAGGGGUGCUGGUCUACCAUCUGCCUCAGUAGUAGAGUGGACGUCAUAAUUUGUGAUAGGAGGUUCGCGUCCGCACGGCCCCUAC